rnacentral:rRNA from 1 species
GGACCCGCACAAGCGGUGGAGCAUGUGGUUUAAUUCGACGCAACGCGAAGAACCUUACCAGGGCUUGACAUCCCGCGCUAUCCAUGGAAACAUGGAGUUCGUGCCUUCGGGCAUGACGCGGAGACAGGUGGUGCAUGGUUGUCGUCAGCUCGUGUCGUGAGAUGUUGGGUUAAGUCCCGCAACGAGCGCAACCCCUACUUUUAGUUGCCAGCAUUAACGUUGGGCACUCUUAGAGGAACUGCCGGUGACAAACCGGAGGAAGGUGGGGACGACGUCAAAUCAUCAUGCCCUUUAUGUCCUGGGCUACACACGUGCUACAAUGGCCGGUACAGAGGGUUGCAAAGCGGUGACGCGGAGCGAAUCCCAAAAAGCCGGUCUCAGUUCGGAUUAGCAGGCUGCAACCCGCCUGCAUGAAGUUGGAAUCGCUAGUAAUCGCGAGUCAGCAUAUCG